UGGGAUGUAGUUGAGUUGGUACAAUGCCUGCUUAGCAUUCAGGACACCCUAGGUUUGAUCCCCAACAUCACAU
rnacentral:tRNA from 1 species